rnacentral:rRNA from 1 species
UGGUAAUGCCGGAUGUUCCACAUGAUCGCAUGUGAUUGUGGGAAAGAUUCUAUCGGCGUGGGAUGGGGUCGCGUCCUAUCAGCUUGUUGGUGAGGUAACGGCUCACCAAGGCUUCGACGGGUAGCCGGCCUGAGAGGGCGACCGGCCACAUUGGGACUGAGAUACGGCCCAGACUCCUACGGGAGGCAGCAGUGGGGAAUAUUGCACAAUGGGCGCAAGCCUGAUGCAGCGACGCCGCGUGAGGGAUGGAGGCCUUCGGGUUGUAAACCUCUUUUGUUUGGGAGCAAGCCUUCGGGUGAGUGUACCUUUCGAAUAAGCGCCGGCUAACUACGUGCCAGCAGCCGCGGUAAUACGUAGGGCGCAAGCGUUAUCCGGAUUUAUUGGGCGUAAAGGGCUCGUAGGCGGCUCGUCGCGUCCGGUGUGAAAGUCCAUCGCUUAACGGUGGAUCUGCGCCGGGUACGGGCGGGCUGGAGUGCGGUAGGGGAGACUGGAAUUCCCGGUGUAACGGUGGAAUGUGUAGAUAUCGGAAAGAACACCA